AAUACGGCAAGUACAGUGCGCGCUUGUGGGCCAAUUCCGUACUUGGUGGCGUCGGUCCGUGAGGCUAUGAUUCUGAGCCGUGGCCCAGAACGUCUGGGUGUGGAUAGUCCAGGUUGUAUGGGGGUUUGCCGAGUAGUGAGAUCGAGGAAGUGGUGAGGGGACUCAUGGCGAUGGCAUCUGUGGUGGCUGCGACUUCCUGCGGCGGAGCGGCGAUGGAAGCCGAUGGCCUGGAUUUCCUCAUGGAUCUAGUUGAUCGGUUUCCACUGAGGGAUAAGUACGCGGCCAGCUUUUCCAGCGGUGCCUCUAGUGCCGCCGCCGCGGGAGGAAGCACCGGCUUUGCCGGCGUUUUCUACUUGUGGCUCCGGCUGCGCACAACGAUUGGGGGACUGCAGCCCAGGAGGUCUGCGCAAUCGACAGGGAACAUGGUUUUGGGAAGCGCCUGGGUGGACUAAAAGGUUGACUUUGGCAUAUGGUACGGGAAGAGCCGGCUAAACGCCGAGCGGGCCAAGUCCAUGCGGAAGGUCGUGUGCGGCUGAUCAGAACAGAGCUGUGGAGAUGGAAAAGUUGACCGGGAUUAAAUCCGUAAGAUGGACUUCAAGCUAAUGAGAUACAGUACAAGAUUGAGUGGCUAAAAAAGUUUUAUGUUCCCGGUGUACUGCAUGGAUUGCUGGUCCUUGUACAUCCUGGACACAGAGAAGAAGAUCUUCAGGGUGUUGAACCCGACUGAGACACACCCCAGUGAUGAGAUGGGAACGAAACACAGUGCCUUUGCAAAGAGAUCCCAGCGUCGAUUCUGACAAUGCUUCAACGACAUAUUUGGUGGAUGAUUGGUUGACGUGGACGGAUGGACUUCUGUCUAUCCGUUGGUGGCCCAUCGCGAUCCUUGUACAAGAUAUUGUUUUAUCACCUACGGAAAAGUCUCGAACAUGAGAUCGUGAGUAUGAGAGAGUAUCACCUGCCAAGUUUCAUGUGCCUCGAAAUCAUGGACUGAGGGGAUGAAGUCAGAAUAGUUGCAGGGCGGCUCUAUCUUUUGACCCUAUUGCUCGUGUGUUCCCUAGUGUAGUUUGUCACUUUUGGUUUUCGCGCCUGCGAAUUUCUAAAACCCAAGUGUGGGUUCUGUGGACAUUGGAUUUGAAUGUGUAUUGUUGGACGUAAAGUGCUAGUGGAAUGUUGAAGUCGCAGCAUUUCCCUGAAAUUUCCAUGAAAUGUUUGAAGUCGGACCUAAAGUGCCAGCGGAUAUAAAAGGACGGCUAGUGUUGUGUCAGGCAGUUUGU